GUCCAGGUUAGAUUUGUUAAAAUUAUUCUACUGAAGAGUAUGAUGUAAUUGUCAUUUUUGACACAUGACUUUUCACACUACAGGGCCUACCAAGACAAGGGUUCUCGAACAACUGUGGGGUGUUUGUUUUUGAUGUACGCAUUUUACAUUGUGGCAAGAGCCCAAUUUGAUUUCAAUGAGACAAACAUGCAGCAAAUUAAGCACUGGUGGUAACCCUAGUUCUCCUGAAAAACGUUCCCAUGCCGUCUGAACAAGCGAGGUCGCAAGACUGCAAGAGGCGACGGGAGGAAAAGGCAAUGCAGGUAGAAGUUGUUGAAUCACAAAUGAUAAAGUCUUGAACCAGUGUGAGUGUUAAACAUUUAACCUCUCUUUGUCAAAUAUAUUUCAGGAUGAAGAGGUUGUGAGGUUCCACAAAAGAAGCAGGCCAUCAUUUGAGAUGGGGUCAUGAGUGAGUGCUGCUGGGGGGUUCACUAAUGCCUCAAAAUGUAUUAGUUGUCACGAUCUGUCUGUGUAUUAUUUUGUCCUGUCUUGUCUGUUGCUUUCUGUGUUCAAUCAAAUUGAAAGUCCUGAAUU